rnacentral:rRNA from 1 species
GACGAACGCUGGCGGCGUGCUUAACACAUGCAAGUUGAACGAGAAUUUUUCGAGUGAUUUCUUCGGAAUGAUCAUGAAAAAGGAAAGUAGCGAACGGGUGAGUAACACGUGAGAAACCUGCCUUUCACAAAGGGAUAGCCUCGGGAAACCGGGAUUAAUACCUUAUGAAACCAAACACUCGCAUGAGAGAUUGGUUAAAGAUUUAUCGGUGUUAGAUGGUCUCGCGUCUGAUUAGCUAGUUGGUGGGAUAAAAGCCUACCAAGGCAACGAUCAGUAGCCGGAUUGAGAGGUUGAACGGCCACACUGGAACUGAGACACGGUCCAGACUCCUACGGGGGGCAGCAGUGGGGAAUUUUGCACAAUGGAGGAAACUCUGAUGCAGCGACGCCGCGUGAGUGAUGAAGGUCUUCGGAUUGUAAAACUCUGUCCUUAGUGAAGAUAAUGACAGUAGCUAAGAAGCAAGCCCUGGCUAAAUACGUG